rnacentral:tRNA from 1 species
GAUUCUGGCUCAGAGGGAGAGCGUUUGCCUCACAUUCAUAAGGCACUGGGUUCGAUCCUCAGCAUCA